GACGAACGCUGGCGGCGUGCUUAACACAUGCAAGUCGAACGAUGAAGCCCUUCGGGUGGGAUUAGUGGCGAACGGGUGAGUAACACGUGGGCAAUCUGCCCUUCACUCUGGGACAAGCCCUGGAAACGGGUCGUAUACCGGACUAACACUCCUCAGGGCGAUCUUUGAGGGGUUAAAAGGACUCCGGCGGUGAAGGAUGAGCCCG
rnacentral:rRNA from 1 species